rnacentral:rRNA from 1 species
UACGAACUGUGCAAACGUUAUUCGGAAUCACUGGGCUUAAAGGGUGCGUAGGCGGCUCGUUAGGUAGGGUGUGAAAGCCCCCGGCUCAACCGGGGAAUUGCGCCCUAAACCGACGGGCUAGAGUGAGAUAGGGGUGUGUGGAACUUCCGGUGGAGCGGUGAAAUGUGUUGAUAUCGGAAGGAACGCCGGUGGCGAAAGCGACACACUGGGUCUCAACUGACGCUGAGGCACGAAAGCCAGGGGAGCAAACGGG